UACGGGGGGAGCAAGCGUUGUUCGGAUUUACUGGGCGUAAAGGGCGCGUAGGCGGCCACCGCAAGUCGACUGUGAAAUCUCCGGGCUUAACCCGGAAAGGUCAGCCGAUACUGCGGGGCUAGAGUGCAGAAGGGGCAACUGGAAUUCUCGGUGUAGCGGUGAAAUGCGUAGAUAUCGAGAGGAACACCUGCGGCGAAGGCGGGUUGCUGGGCUGACACUGACGCUGAUGCGCGAAAGCGUGGGGAGCAAACGGG
rnacentral:rRNA from 1 species